rnacentral:rRNA from 1 species
AGUGAACGCUGGCGGUAGGCCUAACACAUGCAAGUCGAACGGCAGCACAGGAGAGCUUGCUCUCUGGGUGGCGAGUGGCGGACGGGUGAGAAAUACAUCGGAAUCUACUCUGUCGUGGGGGAUGACGUAGGGAAACUUACGCUAAUACCGCAUACGACCUACGGGUGAAAGCAGGGGAUCUUCGGACCUUGCGCGAUUGAAUGAGCCGAUGUCGGAUUAGCUAGUUGGCGGGGUAAAGGCCCACCAAGGCGACGAUCCGUAGCUGGUCUGAGAGGAUGAUCAGCCACACUGGAACUGAGACACGGUCCAGACUCCUACGGGAGGCAGCAGUGGGGAAUAUUGGACAAUGUGCGCAAGCCUGAUCCAGCCAUACCGCGUGGGUGAAGAAGGCCUUCGGGUUGUAAAGCCCUUUUGUUGGGAAAGAAAUCCAGCUGGUUAAUACCCGGUUGGGAUGACGGUACCCAAAGAAUAAGCACCGGCUAACUUCGUGCCAGCAGCCGCGGUAA